CUGUUUGUUUGUUGGAUUGUGUGUCUGUGUGUGUUGUAAAGAAGGAAUGACGAUAGAGCAAUCUAUAUGGGGGAAUUUACCGAUAUUAAUGAGAGCCAAUUCAAAGGAAUCAGUUGAAGUCAUACUCCAAACACUUUGGCGAACCCGAAAAGUUGGCCUUGAUUCAUCUGACCGUGAUGUCAUCCGUGAUAUCCUUCACCUUCACGAUGAUUCUGACCUUGAUCCUCUUUUGGUAUGUCUUCGAAUGUUGAUUCGAAGAUGUGUGUAUGAGAAUACAAAUAAGGAUGACAUACAGAAACUGUUUCCUGCUGAAGUUUUGCCUGAGAUACAGAGAUUAUUGACACUUCUCCUCCAGAAGUUUCAUUCACAGUGGAGAGAAGAUCUAUCUAAAGAUCAGAUUAACAGCAGCACAGUGCUGAAUUCCGGAGGAACUGAUGUGAACUUUAAGUUGGCUAAAGAUACAUUAGAGACGAUGUUGAAGUCAAUGCAUUCUAUGGCAGAUCAACUCGGCAGCACUGGUGAGACAUCAACAUGACUUUUAUCACAAAAGAAAUUUGAGUUUUCUCCUAAGUUAUAAGACCACAGUUGAAUCAUUAUGGCCAAGAUCAAUCACAUAUUGAAAAACAUCGCAAUUUUCAUGGGGAGACCAGUCAAUAGAACUAGCAGAUUAAAUUGGGGCCAGAGAGUUCAAAUAUAAACUGGGGUAGAAGAAACAUCCAAUUGUGUAUCUCAAGACUGUUUUUCUGGACGUGAGGUCUACCUUCAUUCAGCUAAAUGUAGUUCAGCUUAGAUGAUAGUGACUCGUCACUAGUAGUUAAUUGUCUAGAUGUGUUUGUUAGCAUAUGACUCAAUUGUCGUGAUGUAUACUUGUCCUUAAAUCAUGGAACAGUUGUAUUAUAAAUUUUGUUUGAACAUGCACUUUGUGUAGUCGAUCUGCUCAUAGGAUCUCAAUACCAUGAGUCCAUGACAUGUUCAACACCUAAAAUUUCCAUA